rnacentral:rRNA from 1 species
AUUGAACGCUGGCGGCAGGCCUAACACAUGCAAGUCGAGCGAGCGGCGGACGGGUGAGUAAUGUAUGGGGAACUGCCCGAUAGAGGGGGAUAACUACUGGAAACGGUGGCUAAUACCGCAUACUAUCGGAUGAACCCAUAUGGGAUUAGCUAGUAGGUUGGGUAACGGCUCACCUAGGCGACGAUCCCUAGCUGGUCUGAGAGGAUGAACAGCCACACUGGAACUGAGACACGGCCCAGACUCCUACGGGAGGCAGCAGUGGGGAAUAUUGCACAAUGGGCGCAAGCCUGAUGCAGCCAUGCCGCGUGUAUGAAGAAGGCCUUAGGGUUGUAAAGUACUUUCAGCGAGGAGGCGUUACUCGCAGAAGAAGCACCGGCUAACUCCGUGCCAGCAGCCGCGGUAAUUC